AAUCCUUUAACGAGGAUCUAUUGGAGGGCAAGUCUGGUGCCAGCAGCCGCGGUAAUUCCAGCUCCAAUAGCGUAUAUUAAAGUUGUUGUGGUUAAAAAGCUCGUAGUUGGAUCUCAGUUCGAGUCAGGCGGUCCACUUGCCAGUGGCUACUGCCUGACUGAACACUUUACCGAGUUGUCCUAUGGUGUUCUUCACCGAGCGUCAUAGGCGAUCGGUACGUUUACUUUGAAAAAAAUUAGAGUGCUCAAAGCAGGCGUAACGCCCGAAUAAUGUUGCAUGGAAUAAUGGAAUAGGACCUCGGUUCUAUUUUGUUGGUCUUCGGAAUCAGAGGUAAUGAUCAAUAGGGACAGACGGGGACAUUCGUAUUGCGGCGCUAGAGGUGAAAUUCUUGGACCGUCGCAAGACGAACUAAAGCGAAAGCAUUUGUCAAGAAUGUUUUCAUUAAUCAAGAACGAAAGUUAGAGGUUCGAAGGCGAUCAGAUACCGCCCUAGUUCUAACCAUAAACGAUGCCAACCAGUAAUUCGUCUGAGUUCCUUAAAUGACUCGACGAGGGACUUCCGGGAAACCAAAGUCUUUCGGUUCCAGGGGAAGUAUGGUUGCAAAGCUGAAACUUAAAGAAAUUGACGGAAGGGCACCACCAGGAGUGGAGCCUGCGGCUUAAUUUGACCCAACACGGGAAAACUCACCCGGCCCGGACACUGGAAGGAUUGACAGAUUGAGAGCUCUUUCUUGAUUCAGUGGGUGGUGGUGCAUGGCCGUUCUUAGUUGGUGGAGUGAUUUGUCUGGUUAAUUCCGAUAACGAACGAGACUCUAGCCUACUAAAUAGAUCGUCGGCUUACAAACGCCGGCGAGACUUCUUAGAGGGACAGGCGGUGAUUCAACCGCACGAAACAGAGCAAUAACAGGUCUGUGAUGCCCUUAGAUGUCCGGGGCCGCACGCGCGCUACACUGAAGUGAUCAGCGUGCUUUUUCAACCUACUCUGUCAAGAGUGGGGAACCCAAUGAACCUUCUUCGUGAUUGGGAUAGGGGAUUGUAAUUAUUCCCCUUGAACGAGGAAUUCCCAGUAAGCGCGAGUCAUAAGCUCGCGUUGAUUACGUCCCUGCCCUUUGUACACACCGCCCGUCGCUACUACCGAUUGAAUGUUUUAGUGAGGUCUUCGGACUGGCCGGCGCAGCACUCUCGUAGUGCAGCGCUGUGUUUGGAAAGAUGCCCAAACUUGA
rnacentral:rRNA from 1 species